rnacentral:rRNA from 1 species
AGGGCACCACCAGGGGUGGAGCCUGCGGCUUAAUUUGACUCAACACGGGGAAACUCACCCGGCCAGGACACAAUAAGGAUUGACAGAUUGAUAGCUCUUUCUUGAUUUUGUGGGUGGUGGUGCAUGGCCGUUCUUAGUUGGUGGAGCGAUUUGUCUGGUUAAUUCCGAUAACGAACGAGACUCUAGCCUAUUAAAUAGACGAUAUAUUAUUAGUUUAUCGAGCUUCUUAGAGGGACAGGCAGCUUCUAGCUGCACGAGAUUGAGCAAUAACAGGUCUGUGAUGCCCUUAGAUGUCCGGGGCUGCACGCGCGCUACAAUGAUAAUAGCAGCGUGCAUUAAAACCUUUUCUGGUAAGAAUUGGUAAACACGAAAUAUUGUCGUGCUUGGGAUAGGGGAUUGAAAUUAUUGCCCUUAAACGAGGAAUUCCCAGUAAGUGCGAGUCAUUAGCUUGCGUUGAUUACGUCCCUGCCCUUUGUACACACCGCCCGUCGCUACUACCGAUUGGAAGAUUUAGUGAAU